rnacentral:tRNA from 1 species
GCCGAAGUGGUGGAAUUGGUAGACACACUGUGUUCAGGGCGCAGCGCCUGCAAGGGCAUGAGAGUUCGAGUCUCUCCUUCGGUA